AUGAAGGAGGAAAUGAAAUCUUGGUUUCAAGAUCUUGGAUAUGAGGGCAGAUUUGGCUCUGGUGAGGAUGUGCUUGGAGUGCAUGGGCAAGUGGUGGAGCAGGCAAGGAAAUUCUCCCUGUAUGCUAUAAUUUCUAUUGAGGUGUUGAAUUUGAUUAAGGCUGCUUCUAGGGUGACCCAAGGAGGUGGUUUCAGUGCCUCGACUCCAGAUGCUCCAUCUUGA